AUCCGGGUUGCGGACAGUGUCUGGUGGGUAGUUUGACUGGGGCGGUCUCCUCCUAAAGAGUAACGGAGGAGCACGAAGGUUGGCUAAUCCUGGUCGGACAUCAGGAGGUUAGUGCAAAGGCAUAAGCCAGCUUGACUGCGAGAGUGACGGCUCGAGCAGGUGCGAAAGCAGGUCUUAGUGAUCCGGUGGUUCUGAAUGGAAGGGCCAUCGCUCAACGGAUAAAAGGUACUCCGGGGAUAACAGGCUGAUACCGCCCAAGAGUUCAUAUCGACGGCGGUGUUUGGCACCUCGAUGUCGGCUCAUCACAUCCUGGGGCUGAAGUAGGUCCCAAGGGUAUGGCUGUUCGCCAUUUAAAGUGGUACGCGAGCUGGGUUUAGAACGUCGUGAGACAGUUCGGUCCCUAUCUGCCGUGGGCGCUGGAGAAUUGAGGGGGGCUGCUCCUAGUACGAGAGGACCGGAGUGGACGCAUCACUGGUGUUCGGGUUGUCAUGCCAAUGGCACUGCCCGGUAGCUAAAUGCGGAAGAGAUAAGUGCUGAAAGCAUCUAAGCACGAAACUUGCCCCGAGAUGAGUUCUCCCUGAGACUUAGAGUCUCCUGAAGGAACGUUGAAGACGACGACGUUGAUAGGCCGGGUGUGUAAGCGCAGCGAUGCGUUGAGCUAACCGGUACUAAUGAACCGUGAGGCUUAACCUU
rnacentral:rRNA from 1 species